rnacentral:rRNA from 1 species
AUUGAACGCUGGCGGCAGGCUUAACACAUGCAAGUCGAGCGAGCGGCGGACGGGUGAGUAAUGUCUGGGAAACUGCCUGAUGGAGGGGGAUAACUACUGGAAACGGUAGCUAAUACCGCAUACCAUCAGAUUUGCCCAGAUGGGAUUAGCUAGUAGGUGGGGUAAUGGCUCACCUAGGCGACGAUCCCUAGCUGGUCUGAGAGUAUGACCAGCCACACGGGAACAGGGACACGGUCUAGACUCAUACGGGGGGCAGCAGUGGGGAAUAUUGCACAAUGGGCGCAAGCCUGAUGCAGCCCUGCGGCGUGUGUGAAGAAGGCCUUCGGGUUGUAAAGCACUUUCAGCGAGGAGGCGUUACUCGCAGAAGAAGCACCGGCUAACUACGUGCCAGCCGCCGCGGUAAUAC